AUGGUGCAUAUCUAUCAGAAUUGUUGGACCAUUCAUGCUAGGGUCUUGUGGAAGGCCCAAACGAAGGAGAAUGCAAUGAGGAACGUUUACCUUCAGUGUAUACUACUGGAUCAGGAUGAAACAAAAAUGGAAGCGAUCGCAUACAACAACCAAGCAUUUCGCUUCAACACCAUGCUUCAAACCGGCAUGACAUAUGACUUUAUUCGCAUCGGGUUCAACCCCACGGAAAUACCAGAUGGACAUUUCUGGUAUCUAGCCAUGGAGUUUGUCAUCACACUAAAUGCUAGGACCGAGGUUAGGAUGUCGGCGCACAUGAUAGCAUCAACAAUUUGUCCACCGUGCUUCCCACAGUUUGGGGCCAUGUUCUCGCUACGGGACAAAAGCACCACUGAUGUUGUUGCUAUUCUUGCCUACAUUGGUAAGAUACAACAUCAAUGGGAUUCAAUAUAUAGACGACACGCCCUUUUCUUCGAGAUUGGCCUCCUUAACUUUCGGUAA
rnacentral:rRNA from 1 species